rnacentral:rRNA from 1 species
GCCCGUCGCUACUACCGAUUGAAUGGCUUAGUGAGGCUUCCGGAUUGGUUUAGGAAAGGGGGCAACUCCAUUCUGGAACCGAGAAGCUAGUCAAACUUGGUCAUUUAGAGGAAGUAAAAGUCGUAACAAGGUUUCCGUAGGUGAACCUGCGGAAGGAUCAUUACUGAUUUGCUUAAUUGCACCACAUGUGUUUUUUAUUGAACAAAUUUCUUUGGUGGCGGGAGCAAUCCUACCGCCAGAGGUUAUAACUAAACCAAACUUUUUAUUUACAGUCAAACUUGAUUUAUUAUUACAAUAGUCAAAACUUUCAACAACGGAUCUCUUGGUUCUCGCAUCGAUGAAGAACGCAGCGAAAUGCGAUACGUAAUAUGAAUUGCAGAUAUUCGUGAAUCAUCGAAUCUUUGAACGCACAUUGCGCCCUUUGGUAUUCCAAAGGGCAUGCCUGUUUGAGCGUCAUUUCUCCCUCAAACCCCCGGGUUUGGUGUUGAGCAAUACGCUAGGUUUGUUUGAAAGAAUUUAACGUGGAAACUUAUUUUAAGCGACUUAGGUUUAUCCAAAACGCUUAUUUUGCUAGUGGCCACCACAAUUUAUUUCAUAACUUUGACCUCAAAUCAGGUAGGACUACCCGCUGAACUUAAGCAUAUCAAUAAGCGGAGGAAAAGAAACCAACAGGGAUUGCCUUAGUAGCGGCGAGUGAAGCGGCAAAAGCUCAAAUUUGAAAUCUGGCUCUUUCAGAGUCCGAGUUGUAAUU